GUUUCAACAGCUGAAGUUCAGCUGCAGCUUGACAAACUUGAUAAAAAUUGGACAAAUUUGUAUGGGAAUUUGGAUUACGCCAUUAUCUCAACUGGAAAAUGGUUCCUUAAAGCUGCAAUCUAUCAUGAGAAUGACACAGUAGUGGGCUGCCAUAUAUGUCCUGGAAAGAACUUUACAGAGAAGGGAUUUGUAUUUGCUUACGAGAAAGCCCUCCAUUAUGCGAUGGACUUCAUUGCAACAUCCAAACACAAAGGGCUGAUCUUCUUUAGGACGUCAACUCCUGAUCAUUUUGAGAAUGGAGAAUGGCAUAAUGGAGGGACUUGUCUAAAAACAACGCCUGCUAAAGAGGGUGAGAUGGAAUUGAAGGACUUGAACAGGAUUCUGCGCGACACUGAAUUAGCAGAAUUCGAGAAGGCAUCUGCAAAAGCGGC
rnacentral:misc_RNA from 1 species